rnacentral:rRNA from 1 species
UACGGAGGGUGCGAGCGUUGUCCGGAAUCAUUGGGCGUAAAGGGCGCGUAGGUGGCCCCUCAAGCGUGCGGUGAAAGUCAGGGGCUCAACUCCGGGCCUGCAGCCGAUACGGGCAAGCUAGAAUUCGGUAGGGGAGACUGGAAUUCCUGGUGUAGCGGUGAAAUGCGCAGAUAUCAGGAGGAACACCGGUGGCGAAGGCGGGUCUCUGGGCCGAUAUUGACGCUGAGGAGCGAAAGCGUGGGGAGCAAACAGG